UUUCCUUCACUUCCGGUUGGGGCUCGCGUCACUUGACGUUACAGGCCAGAGAGGGUGCUGGGAGGUUUGCUUCCUCUGGUGAGGCCCGUAGGCGCCAUUUUGGAAUUGGGCAGGAGGUGGUACCGAUAGCGGAAAGCAGGACCGGCCAUUUUUAGUUAGGGGAUCGGAACCCAUUUCGGGCGUGGGUAGCCAUUCUUGUUUGGGGCAAGAGCUUGACAGUUGAAGUCAACGGUUCUCAUCUUUACCUUGGGCAAAAUUUCCCUUCCCUAUCUUUUUACUUUCUGAAGUCGAGGAAGGAAACCCCCAGAAUCCAUCAGGUUGCUGAGAUUUAACUCCUUCGUUGACUAAUUGACUAAAGGACUUUUCCGUUUAUGAUAUACGCCAAGUUGCAAAGAGAUAUUUUGCACAAGAAACUAUUUUAGGAGCCUUCCUGUGUUUCAAAGUGAUUGGAACGGGGCUUAUAAGAAACGAAAGGUAGCGUCCAUCAUCAGCAAGUUUCUUGACUGGUAGAGGAGACACUGUCCUUGCCCUCAGCGAACAGCAAGUAAAGUUAGUGGUUCGCUUCGCGGAAGGAGGCGACACCUCUCUUCAGAAACUGUAACUCCAAAGAAUACCCAGUUUAGCUCUGUGGUGAGCCCCCACCUUCCCUACCCAUCCCCUUUAUGGUUCGAGAGCCCUGGAUGGCCCGUGUUUGGGAGUGGGGAGUGCCGUGCCAGAGUCAGAGAAACAUUGAACCCCAUUUAGUCCAAGUGACCUGGAAAUCCAGAUGCUUAAGCCAGGAGAGGAAGUGAGCUGCAGCUCAAAAAGGCAUGGAUGGUAAAAUAAUUAGAAGGCCUGCUUUGAGAGGGCCUAGAAGAAGUUGGUCACAGAUGUUAAGGCUAGAAGGAGAGAGCUAAGAAAAGACUGGGAAGUGUAGAAGAUUUCAUUGGGGAUUUAACGUCGCUGGAGAUAAAAGCCACGAGAGGACCAAGGCGUGGCCAAGAGCGACUAUUGAGAAUCCUGGCAAGCUCGGUCUUUAAGUUAGGAACCCAGUUUUACCUGAGGUCAGCUAAGCUGGAGAUCCACCUCACCUCUCUGGCACUCCACCCCAGCAGAGCUAAAGAACAAAGGAGCAGAAGUGAACCUGAGGUCACUCUAGGAUGUUCUGGCUCCAAGACUAAUGGCUGCUGUUGGGCCUCCCUGGUGGCACAAGGGGUUGAGACGCAACCUAUGAAGCAAUACGCAGCCACUGCAGUACAAGUUCGAUCCCCGGCAAGGGAGCAACCCACGUGGCACAGCAGACCUCUCCUCUCUCACCCACUGCUCCCCUCAGCAGCGUAUUUCAGUCAGUCUGCCUGUUCUGUUCCCCACUCAGUCUCUGGUGAAUCCUUUUACCUCCCAUACCUCUGGCCUGUACCCCAG